UGGCGGCGUGCGUAAUCCAUGCAAGUCGAGCCGACUUGAUGGAGUGCUCGCACUCCUCGAUGGUUAGCGGCGGACGGGUGAGUAACACGUAGUAACUUGCCCAUAAGACUGGGAUAAGUACCGGAAACGGUAGAUAAUACCGGAUAGGUUCUACUCUCGCACGAGAGAAGAAAGAAAGACGGAGCAAUCUGUCACUUACGGAUGGACCUGCGGCGCAUUAGCUAGUUGGUGAGGUAACGGCUCACCAAGGCGACGAUGCGUAGCCGACCUGAGAGGGUGAUCGGCCACACUGGGACUGAGACACGGCCCAGACUCCUACGGGAGGCAGCAGUAGGGAAUCUUCCGCAAUGGGCGAAAGCCUGACGGAGCAACGCCGCGUGAGUGAUGAAGGCUUUCGGAUCGUAAAGCUCUGUCGCCAGGGAAGAACGUCCUUAAGAGAACUGCUCAAGAGGC
rnacentral:rRNA from 1 species